rnacentral:rRNA from 1 species
GGAGGAAAAGAAACUAACAAGGAUUCCCCUAGUAACGGCGAGUGAAGCGGGAUGAGCUCAAAUUUGAAAUCUGGCGGUCUAAGGCCGUCCGAGUUGUAAUCUAGAGAGGUGUUUUCCGUGCCGGACCGUGUACAAGUCCCUUGGAACAGGGCGUCAUAGAGGGUGAGAAUCCCGUCCAUGACACGGACUACCGGUGCUCUGUGAUACACCUUCAAAGAGUCGAGUUGUUUGGGAAUGCAGCUCAAAACGGGUGGUAAAUUCCAUCUAAAGCUAAAUACAGGCGAGAGACCGAUAGCGAACAAGUACCGUGAGGGAAAGAUGAAAAGAACUUUGGAAAGAGAGUUAAACAGUACGUGAAAUUGUUGAAAGGGAAACGCUUGAAGUCAGUCGCGUCCGCAGGGACUCAGCCUUGCUUUUGCUUGGUGCACUUCUCUGUGGAUGGGCCAGCAUCGAUUUUGGUCGCUGGAAAAGGGCGGGAGGAAUGUGGCAGCUUUUAGCUGUGUUAUAGCCUCUCGUCGUACACGGUGGCCGGGAUCGAGGACUGCAGCACGCCUUUGGUCGGGGUUCGCCCACGCCACGUGCUUAGGAUGCUGGCGUAAUGGCUUUAAACGACCCGUCUUGAAACACGGACC